rnacentral:rRNA from 1 species
UACGGAGGAUCCAAGCGUUAUCCGGAUUUAUUGGGUUUAAAGGGUGCGUAGGCGGCCUAUUAAGUCAGGGGUGAAAGACGGUAGCUUAACUAUCGCAGUGCCCUUGAUACUGAUGGGCUUGAAUGUACUUGAGGUAGGCGGAAUGUGACAAGUAGCGGUGAAAUGCAUAGAUAUGUCACAGAACACCAAUUGCGAAGGCAGCUCACUACACAAUUAUUGACGCUGAGGCACGAAAGCGUGGGGAGCAAACAGG